rnacentral:lncRNA from 1 species
GGUAUGACCACUGCCCUUGGAAGUAAAUUCCUAUUGCUGAAGACAUUGCCCACUUUGGACUUGGAAGGAGUUGAAGGAGUUGACCUGGAAGUCUCACUACUCACGGUGACUAGAUAGUGCCAUAAAAUGAAAAGCUGUGGAUUCCUUCCAGACUAAUAUGGUUUGAUCAAGCAAGACCCCCUGAAGCUGAGAUGAUACAGCCUUACAGACUACAAAAACAAGGACUUGAUCAGAAUGCUCCACAGUCCGAGGAUUAUUUCGUUGCUUGCCGGCUGGGAACCUCGCUGAAGCUGGCAUGGGAGCAGAGCGGGGUAAACACGUGUGUUCAUAAUAACCACUCCAGAUCACCGAGCAUCGUCUAAGGUCAGGCCCUUUGCCAAGCGCUGCACCUACUUGAUUUCACCUAAUGGAAGCCAGAACCUGGAAGCAACCUAGAUGCCCUCAACUGAAGAAUGAAUACAGAAAAU